CGGGGAAAAGAUCGAAGAACACGAAAUCAACGAAAAGAAACGGAUCGAACGAGAUCAAAAUUUAGCGAUGGAGAGGUGGCUGCGGCUGUGGAUGGCGGCUGCGGUUGUGGAUGGCAACAGCGGCGGUAGUUGUGAGCUGAAGGGGAAGGAGGAAGAGAAGGAGGAAGAAGGAGGAUGACGACGAGAAAGCGGAGGGGAAGAAAGAUGAGGAAGAAGAAGAGAAAGAAAAUGGUGUAAAUUUCACCCAAAGAGUACAACUUUUACCUAAAGAGUGUAAUCUCAUCCCAAAAGUGUAAUUCUGUCUUAAAGAGUGCAAUUUUUAUUUAAAAUAGUGCAAAAAUCUUUUAAAAUAGUGUAACUUUAUUUUAACAGUGUAAUUUCAUCAUCUUCUUUAUUCUUCUAUAAUUUUUGAUCUUUUCUGUAGAAAAAAAUUUUUUUUUUUAUUUUUUUUUAUUAUUCUUUUUUUUUUCUCUCUAUAAUUUUUUUGGUCACGACCUCUCCCUUGCCCUCUAUCGCAGCCAUCGCCUUCGCCGGAGUAUAACUAUUUUUGUAGUGUCCUUAGAGUUUAGCGGUCGGAGUGAUUACAGUAUUUGUGGUUUGUCGACACAUCUGUAGAGUGUCGGGACGAGUUUGAGUCGUUUGGCGCGAAAUGGACGCAAAAACGGACUCGGCGUAGUGCGAGAUUGGAGUUCUGCCACUGAAAUCUGCAAAUUGCAGGUUUGAGUGUCGAGUACCGAUACCUGUGUGGAGUACCGGUACUGGGACUGGGUACCGGUACUGCAUCG
rnacentral:lncRNA from 1 species